CUUAGGAUUUACUACCUCAACACCCUAACCAAAACUCUUGAAACCCACAGAUCGGAAAACCUCUCUCCCCUUCUCCGAACCCACAAAUCAAACCCACCACAGCCAUUUUCACUUCUUUGGAUCAAACCCACAGCCCUCUUCCCUUCAAACCCACAGAGCAAGUCCCCUUGUUCCGUUUCCGUCAAAUUCCUCCGUUUCGUCGCCGGUGACUUCUUUUCGUCGACGGCUUGUUCUUCCGAUAGGAGAGCAAGUCCUUGGCUCUCCGGAGUUUCUCCGGCGCCGGUGAACCAACAGCCUUCCUCCGUUUCGUUGCCGGUAAACCGAUAGCCUUCGACAGGCGGCAAUGGCGUGAAUGAGAUCCAGAUGAGAGAGAGGGAUAUAUGAUCAGUAGAAGAAACGAGAGAGAGAGAGAGUGAGAGCAAGCGAGCCAGAAAACCUCGCCUCACACAGCGAGGCCUCCAAGCGAAUUCUUAAAUGGCGACUUGACCACUGAGGUUGCUGGGUGUGGGAUUUCCCCCCUUUUUCUCGCCAAUUUGAGGAAUUUUUGGUUUCCUCGCUACACGAUCACGAGUAUUGCCCUGUUAAUUUUCUGCACAAGUCUUUGGGAAAUGCUUAGUACACACCACAUUUGCGCUGCUGUGAUUCUUUUUUGAUCGGUAACCCUCUCAUCUUCUCCCCCCAUGGCAUUUCCCAACCCUAACCCCUCAAACUUCUUACAUCUCAUUUUUCGCCCCGUUGUGGGAGAAUCCCGCAGCGUGGUGGGAUAAACAGCGUCGUCAGCUCCUCUCCCCAAACAUGCGAUGAAGUUCAAGCUAACAAGUACUGAAUCAGCACAAAUUCCCAUGAAACCCCUCCGUUUGAGCUUGGAGUUCGGAUUUGUUUGAAGAACCUUGAAUGCGUGGUGGGUUGGAGAAACUUGACUCAUGGUUGUUUGAGUUUUGGUUCUGCUUUCUGUUGAGUUCAGGCUGCUGGAAUGUGAUACUGAACGUGUGUGUCCAAGAUUCGCCCUUGUCAAUCAAUGACUUGUGAUGGUCUGACUUUUGCUUCUGUUUAAAUGCUUCAUGGUGGGUAUACAUUUGUUUAAGGGUCUCGUGACUUGGUUUUAGUUAACUAGACUUGUGGUUUUGGUUGAAGUAGAUUUCGUGGAUUACUCAGUUUCGGUUAAGUAUUCGGGCUCUUGGUUUAGUUGAGAAACGAAUUCACCGUGACACUAUCUAUGACUAUGAUUUGUUAGUACCCUUAUUAUUGUGCAGCUCAUCUUGGUAUAUAUAGCGGUUCAAAUUCUGAGGUGUUAAAUUGAUAUGAACUUUUUCAUGGAUGUGAGCUAUUGCCUUUCUCUACUACUGCUACUUCUUACAAUGUGGAGUAAAUCCUACUAACACACUCUAACUCUGUUUUUUGAAAUAUAAAGCAUAACUGCUUGUGGAACUUGUGGUAUUUGGGUUGUGCAAGUUGUGUUUCACUUUCCACAGCCUUUGCUGGCAAGCUUUUUCAGAUCUCUGUGGAAUAAACAGGUUGGCAUCGGGAAGGUGAUUUCAUCUAGCUACAUAAUGUGUUGUGCUCGGGGUACAAUGAGCUUUUCAUUCUCUAUUAUGAUGUAGUUGGAAAUCACAUAAUUUUGACUCCACCGUUCCUUCAAUGCAGUGUGAGGUUUUAAAUUAUGAAGUUGGGAGACAUCUGUCGCUGCUGUUUUGUUGAAUGACUGCUGGAUUGAGCAGCUUUUUGACAGGUUUUUUGGGGGGGAUAUGUAUCCAGUUAUCUUUGGAUAUGGUAAUUUACGAGUCUUAGAUAUUUCUAGCUUUCCUUGGAUUCUUAUGUUAAAUAGUAGGUAUGACCAAAAAAGGGAGAUACUAAUUGGAGGGUUGAUGUAGAAACUGGCAUUUUAUUUAGAUCAUUAUUGCCUGUUUUCCUGUUUCAUUAUGUUGCUUUCCUUUCUUGAAUGUGUUUUUCUUAAUGGUUGUGCAUGAAUAAUGCCCGUCAUUAUUUGCCAAAAACCAAGUUCAACAUGUCAUAUGUUUUCUUGAAACCUCCACUGAUAUCAUAACGUGAGGGAGUGGGCUACUGGGCUAGUGCUGUAUUUAGCAACCACAACUAUUCAUGUUGACGGAUAUCAGCUUGGACCUCCAUUUCACCAUCAAAGAAAUGGGAAGAAAGGAAGACAUGGGAUGCAUGAAGACAAAGCCCGUUUGGCAUUUAACUUUAGCGUUGAGGAGGAAAACAAAAUACUGGGAAAAGCAUUUGGCCAGAUCCAUUCGCCUUACUGGGGGGAAGAAAGGAAGAAAGAUGUGCCAACAUAUGAACUUGUCAAUGAAACAUUGGACUACUUGAGGAGUUUGAAGCCUAUCAGAUGAUGAUCUUUCCAAGUUGCUCAAGAAGUUCCCUGAGGGAUUGGUUGUAGUCUUGAACAUUAGCUGAGGAUGAAUGUGAAGGUUUUGGAAACAUUCUUGUUUGGAAUCCGAUAGUGUUGGGUUAUAAUGUUGAUUGCAAGGGGGAUUGAAUGGCACAAUGCACUCACUCGCUGUUUGAUUCGAUUAUAACUGCUUUAAACUAUGUAAUCAUACAUUGGGUACAUAUAUCACAAUUGUUUUUUGUCCCAC